rnacentral:rRNA from 1 species
AGGAUGAACGCUGGCGGCGUGCCUAACACAUGCAAGUCGAACGUCCUGUCUCGCAAGAGGCAGGGAGUGGCGGACGGGUGAGUACCACGUGGGUCAUCUACCGUGAGGUGAGGAAUACCGGCGAGAAAUCGCCGACAAGACCGCAUAGGCUCGAUGCAAGUCGAGCAAAGCUCUUUCGAGAGAGGGAGCGCCACACGAGGAGCCUGCGCCCGAUUAGCUAGCUGGUGGAGUAACGGUUCACCAGGGCGACGAUCGGUAGCUGGUCUGAGAGGACGAUCAGCCACACUGGGAUUGAGAACGGCCCAGACUCCUACGGGGGGCAGCAGUGAGGAAUUUUCGUCAAUGGGGGCAACCCUGAACGAGCAACGCCGCGUGCAGGAAGAAGGUUUUCGGAUCGUAAACUGCUUUUCUCGGGGAAGAGGAACGGACGGUACCCGAGGAAUCAGCCCCGGCUAACUACGCGCCAGCAGCCGC